rnacentral:rRNA from 1 species
ACGGAGGAUGCGAGCGUUAUCCGGAUUUAUUGGGUUUAAAGGGAGCGCAGACGGGUCGUUAAGUCAGCUGUGAAAGUUUGGGGCUCAACCUUAAAAUUGCAGUUGAUACUGGCGUCCUUGAGUGCGGUUGAGGUGUGCGGAAUUCGUGGUGUAGCGGUGAAAUGCUUAGAUAUCACGAAGAACUCCGAUUGCGAAGGCAGCACACUAAUCCGUAACUGACGUUCAUGCUCGAAGGUGUGGGUAUCAAACAG